CCCAAUCCCCUCUACCUUCUAUCUCACUCUUGAGUCUCACCAAAAUGGAAAAAUCCCUAGCCCUAUCAGGGCAAACAGCCGCCGCUACUCUGUCCUCGCCGUGAAGCCCGUCUCUAUCCUCGCCGUCGCCGUGAAGACCCCAAUCCCCUCUCACUUUCUGUGCGUAGUGCGAAUGUACCCGUGCCGCCGUGGACUCUUUGCCGUCGCCUCAUCUCUCUCCAUCGGGACCCCAGAACCCCGGUGACCCCAUUCUCAACCAAUGGGUUCAAGAUGGCUGAUCCGUCACUCAGGAAAAAAUCCAAGAUCUCAUCGCAUGCCUCUGUCGGAGACGCUGCUAUACGCACGCCCUUGAGGUUUUACACUUCAAGUUCCAACGUUUACUUUUCUUUUAGGAUAUAAUGAAGCCUAUUCAAUGGCACCCUUUCAUCUAAAACACUGAAUGCAGCUAGUUUCUAAUUGGGAU